AACAACUCACCUGCCGAAUGAAUCAGCCCUGAAAAUGGAUGGCGCUUAAGCGGGCGACCGACACCAUGCCGUCUGUAUAAGAGUAAAUUUUACAGAUGAGUAGGAGGACGUGGCGGUUGUGUCGAAGCAUGCGUGCGAACGCGUGUGGAACGGCCGCUAGUGCAGAUCUUGGUGGUAGUAGCAAAUAUUCAAGCGAGAUCCUUGAAGGGCGAAGCGGGGAAGGGUUCCACGCAAACAUUGAUUGGGCGUGGGUGAGUCGUUCCUAAGCCGAGUGGCAAUUGCUAAGUAGCGGCGAAAGGGAAGCAGGUUGACAUUCCUGCACACGGAUGUGGAGGCGGUGACGCUUUAAUGAGGGCGAAGACGCUGGCGAUGGCGCUGGGCAGAGAUUUCUUUUCUGUUUAACCGCUGAAGCGCGCGGUGUGGAAUCCGCUUGUCGGGAGAAACACGCUCGUUCGGGCAGAGCGCCGGGGCUAUUCCGGCGUCCAGCUCGCCAUCGACGGCCCUUGAAAAUUUGCCUGCUGGAAUAGUUUUUUUUAUAUUCUAUGAAGAUCCACGCCGUGGCGUACCGAUAACCGCAUCAGGUCCCCAAGGUGAACAGCCUCUGCUCUAUAUGAAUAAU
rnacentral:rRNA from 1 species